CUCGUCACUUCCGGGGACACUGGCAGCUCAGCUGUGGAGAUGGCGAUAAAAAGUUGCUGGAAAGAACAACAUUUAUUGAUCGUUCCUUUCUGCCCUUGAAAAGGCAAUCGUCCCUUCUUCACCUGCUUCAAAACAUCAAGUCAAUAGACAGGGUGCAAAAAUUGGUAUGGAGAGCUGAAGCAAUGCAAACAAAGACAUCAAAGAACUACUGGGGCAAAUCUUCCUGUGAGAUGCCAGGAGAUGUGCUUGGAUUUGCCAGGUUUUAAGCACUUAACUUGGCACAGAUUCAAGAAUGCUCUGCAGACUGAAGUCUAGCCUGUCACUUCAAUCAAAUCAUUGAAAACUUGAAAUCGAAACAGAAAAUGCCAAAAGCACUCAGCGGUAUCCUUUGACCUGUCUUUGAUCAUAUCUUUGACCUGAAACAUUAACGUUGUUUCUCUUUCCACAUAUACUUCCUGAUCUGCUGAGUGUUUCUUAUAAUUUCUGUUUUUACUUCGACUUCUGCCAAGUAUUGGCCUGUCGUGAUCUGAUUCUGUUCUAUCAUCUGCUCAGCUCAGAGGCUGAGAAAUCUGUUUGGUUAACAUUGCAUCAGGUUCAACGCACCCGUUGGAAUUAUGUUAAAAAAAAAUUAUCCAUCAAACUUUUUAUUUGUUUUAAUGCAGUUAAUGUUAACGUAUUUAAUUGUUGUAUUUUGUGUGUAUUUUAGCACUUAAUUCAUUCAAAUUAAUAAUUAACAUUUUAUUUUUAUCUUUUUUUUAAAACCGCUUCUUGCCUUGCUUUCUAUUGUCAUUUUUUUUCAUGAUAUUAUAAGUGGCAAGGAAGGUAUGCUCAUCUUAAAAAAUCUAUGUCUCUGAAUCAAUGAAUAAGAUGACUGGGGUUUAAGGCCCACAUGAAAAUUUUACUUCAAAAAUUAGACUAACAAUCCAGAGCAUUCUUCUGGAGUGCUGCAAUGUGUGAAGUGUCGUCAUUUGGAGGAAAUGUUAACCCUAUCUUCCAUUUGGGUGGACAUAAAAUAAAUCAUGGCAAUAUCUUGAUGGGGAAUGCAUAUAUGCCACAAACUGCCCAUGAUUCUAACAACCCCAGUGCCCCAUCUCUACCUGCCUGAAUGCAUGGCAAGAAACUAAAAUUGGCUCUUAAAUAGUAAAGAUCAAGAAAGCUUAGAUCUGAACAAAAACAAACCUUCUAUGGCCGAAGA